rnacentral:misc_RNA from 1 species
AAAAAAAAAGAUUGAUAUCCAUCUCAUGCGCCUAUUUAGUUGAAACCCAGGAGCAGAGUUAUUAAGAAACUGAUGUAGCCCCUAACCAAGCUAGAUAUUAUUAUCAGAUUGACAAGGAAAAGCAACAGUGUUAAAUUCCAAAGCAUUACUGUGAAAUAAGAACAACAUCAUGGCCAGGCGUAGAAUGGAAAUGAAGUUUCCACCUUUAGAAAACAAUAGUUACACUAAUAUUGAAUCUAAGAGUCAUAAAACUAAGAUUAGAACAGGAUUUAUUCACUUCUCAGAAAAUAACCU